UACGUAGGGGGCUAGCGUUGUCCGGAAUCAUUGGGCGUAAAGAGCGUGUAGGCGGCUCGGUAAGUCCGCUGUGAAAGUCCAGGGCUCAACCCUGGAAUGCCAGUGGAAACUGUCGAGCUAGAGUCCGGAAGAGGCGAGUGGAAUUCCUGGUGUAGCGGUGAAAUGCGCAGAUAUCAGGAGGAACACCAAUGGCGAAGGCAGCUCGCUGGGACGGUACUGACGCUGAGGCGGCGACAGCGUGGGGAGCAAACAGG
rnacentral:rRNA from 1 species